AAAGCGCUAUAUAAAUGUAAGGAAUUAUAUAACUGUGAUUUCAAAUUUGUUGUGGUUGCUAAUGAUAUUAAAGUUUUUCUGUUUCAGAUCCUGGCAGUAAUAACACAGGGUCCAACAGUCAGUUUGGUCAGCUCUGGGAAGGACGUCUGAUGAUACUGUACAUAUCUGUCGGUGUGGUUUGUGGAGCUGCAGUUAUCAUAACAAUGCUUAUUUGGAGCAGCAGGAUGAAAAAGAGAAAAAACACAACUGAUACUCAG